rnacentral:rRNA from 1 species
ACUAUUUAUAACCCCGAACAAAUUAAUUAAUUAAUUAACAAACCAUUUUUCCCCCUUAGUAUAGGCGAUAGAAAAGGAACCAUGGAGCUAUAGAAAAAGUACCGCAAGGGA